GCUGGCGGCAGGCCUAACACAUGCAAGUCGAGCGGUAGCACAGAGAGCUUGCUCUCGGGUGACAAGCGGCGGACGGGUGAGUAACGCGUAGGAAUCUACCUAAUAGUGGGGGAUAGCCCAGGGAAACUUGGAUUAAUACCGCAUACGCCCUAAGGGGGAAAGCGGGGGAUCUUCGGACCUCGUGCUAUUAGAUGAGCCUGCGUAAGAUUAGCUAGUUGGUGAGGUAAGAGCUCACCAAGGCGACGAUCUUUAGCUGGUCUGAGAGGAUGAUCAGCCACACUGGGACUGAGACACGGCCCAGACUCCUACGGGAGGCAGCAGUGGGGAAUAUUGGACAAUGGGGGCAACCCUGAUCCAGCCAUGCCGCGUGUGUGAAGAAGGCCUUCGGGUUGUAAAGCACUUUUAGAUGUGAGGAAAGGUUGCAGAUUAAUACUCUGUAGCUGUGACGUUAACAUCAGAAGAAGGACCGGCUAACUCCGUGCCAGCAGCCGCGGUAAUACGGAGGGUCCGA
rnacentral:rRNA from 1 species